CAACCCUCGAGCCCCUGUGGCCCGGCGUUGGGGAUCUGCCACGGCAGGCCCCUAAAACCAGUGGCGGACCCGAAGGGCCCUCUCCUUUGCGCAGUAGCAUUCGCCUCGCAUCGGGAGCCCUCGGCGUCCUGCCUCUAAACCCCCCACAAGCCCGCCUCGGCGGCACCAAG
rnacentral:misc_RNA from 2 species